CCUACGGGUGGCUGCAGUAGGGAAUAUUGGGCAAUGGAGGCAACUCUGACCCAGCCAUGCCGCGUGCAGGACGAAGGCGCUCAGCGUUGUAAACUGCUUUUGCCCGUGAAGAAACGCAGCCCUGCGGGGUUGUUUGCCGGUAACGGGUGAAUAAGCACCGGCUAACUCCGUGCCAGCAGCCGCGGUAAUACGGAGGGUGCAAGCGUUGUCCGGAUUUAUUGGGUUUAAAGGGUGCGUAGGUGGUCUGGUAAGUCUGGUUUGAAAGCUGGGUGCUC
rnacentral:rRNA from 1 species